UGAGGCACAAUGCCACAGAAAGCCACUGAUUUAAGUGCCCACGCAGGUUGCUCUCUCUUACUUCUCUGCAUAUCUAACAUGUUAUACAUGGAGGGAGGAGGACAAGAAAAAGGCAUCCCUGCUGAAAAUAAGAGACUGCUAUUCACACAAAUGGGGCAAUGGACCAGCAAACAAGUGUUACCAAUGGAAUGAGAAGAGCCCUUGACUUAAGAGCCCUUAAUACUUACAUACACAGUUAAGUAUGACUAUGGGGGUUGGGGGUGAAGGGGCUUGACAGCUUGAAAACUGCACACAGGUUGUUUAAGAUUUAUACCAGUGUGAUUGAUUAUACUCUUUCUGGGACCCAGUGGCUUUAGCUGAUGGUCUGUCCACCAGUGCAACAUGAGAACCUUGUCCCAAUGAAAAUGCCAGCCCUGAUAUCUGUUUCAGGCACCACAGCCGAUGGGCUACAGAUGGGAUAUCAUGGACCAAUUCGCCUUUAUCAGUCCGGAGAGAUUGUCGGCUGACGAGUAAUAAGUUGAGACCUUGAAGUUGUGAGAAAAGUUAAUGCAGAAAUAACUACUAUAACAGGGGUAAGAUUUUAUUGUUCUAAAGUUUUUUAAUUGUCUCAAGUAUUUUAGCCUUUUUCUAAGGGUAGUUUUAGAUGGUAUUAUCACUUUUACCUUUACAUUUUGUAUCUAUUUUUGUUUUUAACAGGUUGGUGAAAUUAAAGUACUCAUUGAUACAAUGUACUUAAUAUUAGAAUGUAUUUGGCUGUUUCUCUACAUUGUCUCGAUUUGACUUGACAAUAUGGCACUUAAUAAUGUAUACAAUGUACUUUUUUAUGUUUGUAUAUUUUUUAUGACUGGACACUAACUUUAAAGAGUACAUAAUCACCUGAAGAUUUGUGGAUUGCACUUGAAUCACCUGUGGAUACAACACUGAACUUUUUGAGAAUUUGCAUACCACAUCAGAUUGGAUGUGGAGAUCUAAUUGGCAGAAUGGGUGUGUUUAAAUGUUCACUGUGUAUCUGUGUGUGUUACACUUGAGAAAGGGCUUUAUUGGGCCCGAAACAUGUUGUGUUUCACAGAUUGAA